rnacentral:rRNA from 1 species
AUACGGAGGGUGCAAGCGUUAUUCGGAAUCACUGGGCGUAAAGGACGCGUAGGCGGGUUGGCAAGUCAGAUGUGAAAUCCUACAGCUUAACUGUAGAACUGCAUUUGAAACUGCUAACCUAGAGUAUGGGAGGGGGAGAUGGAAUUAGUGGUGUGGGGGUAAAAUCCGUAGAUAUCACUAGGAAUACCGAAAGCGAAGACGAUCUCCUGGAACAUAACUGACGCUAAGGCGUGAAAGCGUGGGGAGCAAACAGGAUUAGAAACCCUAGUAGUCC